GACGAACCGUGCGAGUGUUGUUCGGAAUCACUGGGCUUAAAGGGCGCGUAGGCGGGCUGUCAAGUCUGGGGUGAAAUGCCGCGGCUCAACCGUGGAACUGCCUUAGAUACUGAUGGCCUCGAGGAAGAUAGGGGCAUGCGGAACUGUAGGUGGAGCGGUGAAAUGCGUUGAUAUCUACAGGAACUCCGGUGGCGAAAGCGGCGUGCUGGACCUUUUCUGACGCUGAGGCGCGAAAGCUAGGGGAGCAAACGGG
rnacentral:rRNA from 1 species